CUCGGGCGAGUGAAUCGUUUUCUUUUGCGGGGGAGGCUGAUUCCAAUGAAAUCGGAGGGGCUAGCCUCUGUAUCGUUGGAGGGCUCUUCUCAUCCGAGAUAUUCAGUGCUGUAUUGAAAAUAUUUCAUACUGGUAUUUCCAGUUACAACCCAAACAACUGAAUCUAUAUUUUUUGGAAUACCAAAUCCAUUACAAGGCCCAAAUACACACAUCCAAACCGGAUGUAAAAAAUACUAUGAAGUUGCCUAUUAGUUCACCAUUAGUAGGGCUACUGAAGGAAACAUUUAUGGACAACUUUUUUCUAAGUUCACCAUUGAUGGGGAUAUUAGAGGAAAAACAAGAAAAA
rnacentral:lncRNA from 1 species